AGGGGAUUAGUUUAAUGGUAGAACAGCGGUCUCCAAAACCGUCAGUGAGGGUUCGACUCCUUCAUCCCCUGCCA
rnacentral:tRNA from 3 species